rnacentral:rRNA from 1 species
GCGCAGCAGUCGAGAAUUUUUCUCAAUGGGCGAAAGCCUGAAGGAGCGACGCCGCGUGGAGGAUGAAGGCCUUCGGGUUGUAAACUCCUGUCAUUUGAGAACAAGUGUCGGCAAGUAACUACUGCCGACUUGAUAGUAUCAGAAGAGGAAGGGACGGCUAACUCUGUGCCAGCAGCCGCGGUAAUACAGAGGUCCCAAGCGUUGUUCGGAUUCAUUGGGCGUAAAGGGUGCGUAGGUGGCGCCAUAAGUCAGGUGUGAAAUUUCGGAGCUUAACUCCGAAACUGCAUUUGAUACUGUGGUGCUUGAGGACUGGAGAGGAGACUGGAAUUUACGGUGUAGCAGUGAAAUGCGCAGAGAUCGUAAGGAAGACCAGUGGCGAAGGCGGGUCUCUGGACAGUUCCUGACACUGAGGCACGAAGGCCAGGGGAGCAAACGGGAUUAGAUACCCCGGUAGU